UACGUAGGGCGCAAGCGUUGUCCGGAAUUAUUGGGCGUAAAGAGCUCGUAGGCGGUCUGUCGCGUCGGCUGUGAAAACCUAGGGCUUAACUCUGGGCGUGCAGUGGGUACGGGCAGGCUAGAGUGCGGUAGGGGAGACUGGAAUUCCUGGUGUAGCGGUGAAAUGCGCAGAUAUCAGGAGGAACACCGGUGGCGAAGGCGGGUCUCUGGGCCGAUACUGACGCUGAGGAGCGAAAGCAUGGGUAGCGAACAGG
rnacentral:rRNA from 1 species